GUUUAUUUUAUUAAUAUGAUCUCAGGCAACUAAUAUUUGAUAAUUCCCAUUAAUAUGUGUAUUUUGUCCCUUUUGUGUGUUGGUAUGGGCAGUUGUGUACAUUGAUUUGUCUAGUAUAAAAUGUGUAUUACAUGAUUGUUCAGCCUAUAUUAUGUAUAGUUCAAAGAACUGCUAAACUGAUUUUACUGUUACUUGGAAAAGUUUGCAGGGGUGUAGUGAAGAGUGAGUUUUGACUUACUUUGCACACUAUUAAGGUGGGGAAGGAAUCAUGUUAUUGUACAAAAAUGAAGGCAAUCUUUCCCUUCUUUAAACCUUAGUCCUGAUGUUUUUUUAAGACAACAUUUGGAUUGAAGUUUUAGAAUUUGGUUUGUUCUUGUGCAAUUGCUUUCGUUCUGUGGCAGUUAGAGGACCCUUCGCUGGCACUGUGAGAAAAG
rnacentral:lncRNA from 1 species